ensembl:lncRNA PMS2P4 PMS1 homolog 2, mismatch repair system component pseudogene 4
GAGGCGGGGCGCCUGUGGGAGUCGUGGAGGGAACUUUCCCAGGCCCCGAGGCGGAUCGGGUAUUGAGUCCAUGGAGCGAGCUGAGAGCUAGAGUACAGAACCUGCUAAGGCCAUCAAACCUAUCGAUCGGAAGUCAGUCCAUCAGAUUUGCUCUGGGCCGGUGGUACUGAGUCUAAGCACUGCGGUGAAGGAGUUAGUAGAAAACAGUCUGGAUGCUGGUGCCACCAAUAUUGCGAUGUCACCAUUUCUACCUGCCACGCAUCGGCGAAGGUUGGGACUCGACUGGUGUUUGAUCACGAUGGGAAAAUCAUCCAGAAAACCCCCUACCCCCACCCCAGAGGGACCACAGUCAGCGUGAAGCAGUUAUUUUCUACACUACCUGUGCACCAUAAGGAAUUUCAAAGGAAUAUUAAGAAGACGUGCCUGUUUCCCCUUCGCCUUCUGCCGUGAUUGUCAGUUUCCUGAGGCCUCCCCAGCCAUGCUUCCUGUACAGCCUGCAGAACUGAUGGCCGUAUAAGAAAAUAAACAACUUGCUAAAACUGCUGAAACUCCCUCUGCUUGUGAGAUUUAAAAAAACUGGCUGAAAUUGGUUGGAACCAACAUGUCCAAUGGAGUCUGAAUAGAAAGAGCUUGCUGACAUCACAGCCCGAAUUUCCACCACAUUUCAUACUAACUCCCCCUGAAUUUGCAUAUGCAAACCACAAGCAAGCAUGAUCAAACAGACAACUGCGCGUGUCCGAGGACUUUCCAGAUCUCCCCUUUCCUUCCACCAAUCACUUACUAAUCUGAGAAUCCAUCCCCUAAUAAAAUCACUGCCUUAAAGCCUGCACAGGAAGACAAAUUUGA